GUCCACCUUCAGGGCAGGACAAGUGAGCCUGGCAACGCCCCCGUCCCUGGUUGUGUCACCAGCCAACGAGGAGUUCCUGCCUCUGUGGGCGGCGGCGAUAAUGCUACGUACAUUAAUGCCGCUCCGGCGGUGGCCAGCCGUGCGCCUUGAGUUGCUCGAGUCCCCCCUGCCGUUCUCUUUGGUGGCGUCACGCGUGACGUCACGUCGCCGCCACAACAGGAUUCUCCUCCAUGGUGAGGCUCUGGGGGCCGGGCCCUCGGGUGUGUGGGUGCAGGCCGUGUGUGUACACGCAGGGGAGUGUGCCAGACGAGACCCCGGGGCUGCCAGGCCCUGCCACGGCCUGCUGGAGGCCCUGGUGCAGGCCGUGACGUCACGCCAGGGGAGGAGCCACGGCCGGGCAAGGGUGAGUCACGGCCUGGCCGCCCCGGUAGGUGCUGCCCUCUGUCCCCAAACACGCGGCGCCAGGUAGGGGCAGCAGCACGCCUGGAGAAGAAGAGGAGGAAGAAGAAGAGGAAGCCAGACCGCCACAGGCUGCCGCACGCCGCCAGCAGGGCGAUUUUGUCCUGCCUUCACGGGGCGGCGGGGCUGGCUGUGGGUCACGGGGCGGCGUGUGUUAGCUAGGCCAUUCUUCCAGACACAAGGAGGGCUGCUCACAGCGUGCGGGGGCGCGGGGUGCCCCGUCUGCUGCCUCCGCUGGGUCACGCGAUGUCGUGAGCCGAGGUUUACUUGCCCCGUACCCGUGAGUCCGUGGCUGCCUGGGUGCCUCGCGGGGCGGCCAGCUUUUGCUGUACGCGUAAUGUAGAGGCGGCAGCGUGUGUUGGGGGGCUGUGGCAAAGCCAUCUUUAUAUAAAAGCCUUAGCCUGGCCGCGAAAACCAUCGAUGACGUCACGCGUCGGGUCCGUUGGCUGGCCGGCGCGGGAGGGGGGGGGACAAGGAGCGUCAGUUGCAUUUCAAACAUUGUGGUGGUAUGAUGUACUCGCUCCAACACAGUGACACUCCAUGUACAAGUUAUUCUGGCCCUGGUCACACCGACCCAUAGUUCUUCCGCCCUUGGUGAUUCCGGCCUGCCUUGUAAAUAACUCUGACUCCCCAAGGUAGACUGAAUCUACUGCAAGGCAUCAUGGACCGGUUUCAUACAUAUGCAUCUCUGGUUGGCUGGCAUAAGCAUGAUCCUGUGAGCUAGUGUUACUCCUGGCAACUACUUUUGACUAGUUCUUCCUGUGAAACAGCUGUCUUUCAAAGAUGCCGAGGUCAUGCUGUGUGCCAGGAUGCAAGUCCAACUAUAAAUCUGCAGAUGCCUCUGCGUUCAGUUUCCCUAAAGAUGAACAGCGACGGCAGCAGUGGAUGAGGGCUAUCCACAGGAAAGACUUUACUCCAACAGAAAAUACAAUUGUUUGU